rnacentral:lncRNA from 10 species
CCACACACACCCCUCCGUGCCCUCCACCCGCACUGUGGAGCGGGACUCGGGCCAUCGGACUCUGCCAGAGAGAAAGCUAUGACUGUUUCCUCCAAAAUCAUAAAACGGAAGUUCAGAAAGGUUAAGUAACUUGCUCAAUGCCACCAGCUAGGCAGCGAAACCCGCAGCCAGUCCACAUGGCCUGGCUUUAGCUCUGCAGCUCCUGCCCCGUGUGGCUGCCUGCCCCCGCCCCCUGCCCAAGCCCCGUCCACUCUGCCUGGCCUGUCACCUGGCCCUUCUGUCCCCGCUAGGAGACACAGAGUCCCCGUUUCUCACCCAUCUGAGGGCCCACGUCUGAAUCCUUAAUCCAGGCCUCUUCUCAAGAUUCCUAGAAUUCGAGAGCUAUUGAGUAUUUGAAUUUCCAAGAUGUGAGUCUCGCCCGGAAGUUUCCC